rnacentral:rRNA from 1 species
UACGAAGGGGGCUAGCGUUGCUCGGAAUCACUGGGCGUAAAGCGCACGUAGGCGGAUUGUUAAGUCAGGGGUGAAAUCCUGGAGCUCAACUCCAGAACUGCCUUUGAUACUGGCGAUCUCGAGUCCGGGAGAGGUGAGUGGAACUGCGAGUGUAGAGGUGAAAUUCGUAGAUAUUCGCAAGAACACCAGUGGCGAAGGCGGCUCACUGGCCCGGUACUGACGCUGAGGUGCGAAAGCGUGGGAGCAAACAGGAGUUA